CAGCAGCCGCGGGAAUACAGAGGGUGCGAGCGUUAAUCGGAUUUACUGGGCGUAAAGCGUGCGUAGGCGGCUAAUUGAGUCGGAUGUGAAAUCCCCGAGCUUAACUUGGGAAUUGCAUUCGAUACUGGUUAGCUAGAGUGUGGGAGAGGAUGGUAGAAUUCCAGGUGUAGCGGUGAAAUGCGUAGAGAUCUGGAGGAAUACCGAUGGCGAAGGCAGCCAUCUGGCCUAAUACUGACGCUGAGGUACGAAAGCAUGGGGAGCAAACAGGAUUAGAUACCCCUGUAGUCCCUGUCUCUUAUAC
rnacentral:rRNA from 1 species